rnacentral:lncRNA from 1 species
AAAUUAGUGAAGCUCGUCUACGACGAUUUUUCAUUCGUGGUUUGAAGAAAGAAUACUUGCCUUUUAUUACUUCCAUUCAGGGAUGGGCAAGUCAGCCAUCAGUUGAAGAAUUAGAGAACUUGCUCUCUAAUCAGGAAGCUUUAGCUAAACAAAUGGUCAAGAAUUUUAAUUCAGAACCUGAUGCUAUUUUAUUCUCAAGAAGAAAAUCUAUUGAGAAAGAUUCUGAAGAAGGCUUAAAUUGGAAGAAGUCAUGGGAUAGUCCACAAGGUAACAAG